rnacentral:lncRNA from 1 species
CUGUGUGAUGUUCUUAUAGGUCCAUCUAUCUGUCGAUUUCAUCAAUUUCGUCACCGAUUCCUUAAAAAAUUAGGCAAGCUACGACCGUCUCUCUCUGAAUCGAAACGUCAAUUCCGACGGCGAUGCAGAUUCCACGUCGAAGGUUGGAGCGACCGAGUGGGGUAGGCCAUUGGGUGGGAUGAAAAUAGGGUAGCAGGGUGACGGGAGGCUUGGGGUGGUCGGCGGUGGUCAGAGAGGCGAGCUCCGGCGAGAGGGUCGGACAUGGCACGGGUGGUGCGGGUUGGAAGGGUUAGGGAAAAAAAGAAGAGGAAGAAGAGAAGAGGGAGAAAAGAGAAGAGAUUGACGUGUGGAUCCAUUCACAAAGGGUAAAAUAGACUAUUCAUAGCAAGUCUUCAUGUUUUUGGAGCUGGAGCACUGCAACUAGAUAAACACGUACAACAACUCCAUAAUUUUCUAGAGUUGGUGGAGUGGAGUUGAAAAAAAAUGAAGUUGGUGAAGUGAAGCUGUUUUUCAUGAGGUGGAGUAGUUCCAAACACACCCUUAAUCCUUGACGGAAAUUAUCUUUUUUCGCCCUCGUCAUCAAGAUCCCUACGAUGUGCAAGACCUAAUUGACGUCUAACGAUGGCAUCCAGAUCUGGAAAUAAAUAAGAGCUUUCACUAACUACGACCAUAUGCCAAAACGGAGCUUAAUUAUAUUAUA